CCCGGAUGCUAUGGCAACAGGCGGUGUUUGACAAGGUUUCCGGAGCCCCUGGCUAUAGUGGGAAUUGUAGUCUCGAUCUGCAGCGAUGGGUGCUGGGAUAUUCUCGCCUUAAUCCUGAGAGCGCAAGGAGAGCCUGGCAUUCUGGGAGAUAAAGGAGCUGACACCCAGAGAGGCUGAGUGAGUUGCCCAAGACCAGAGAGCCUCGUUUCAUCAGAGCCUGGGGAGAUUUUAGACCUCCAGCCAUUCAGCCUAGUGCUUAGCCAGCACCUCAUGCUCUCUGUCAUGAGAAAUGGCCCUCAAGAACCCUCAUGCCAAGGCUCUGAUGACGAAUAUGAGAUAUUGCAGUGGCUGCUGAAACCUUGGCAAACGUGAUGAUUAAGCAGGGACAGAGAGGGACAGUGCACAGCUGUGAGGUGGCAGUGCAGGCCCAGCACAGAGGUGGCUCAGGCCUGGCAGGAGUCAGUAUGCCUUCCUUGUGGGAAUAUUAGCGGCUUCGUCAAUCCGUUUGCUAAUUGUGCACUAGCUAACGACCCAGCAGUUCCACUCCUGUGAAUAUACACAACAGAAAUGAUGCUUAUGUCUACCAAGAGACUCAUAAGGGAGUAUUCAUUGCAGCUUUACUCACAAGAGCCCCAAAUGUCCGUCAGCUUUAGAAUGGAUAAAUGAACUGUGGUAUAUUCACACAAUGGAAUGCUAUACUACAGCGAAAAAGAAUAAACUGUUGCUACGCUCAACAAUGUGGCUGAAUAUCAUAGACACGAUUUAGCAAAAGAAGCCAGACACAGAAGAACACAUAGUGCAUGAGGCCAUUUACAUGAUGUUCAGGAACAGGCAAAACUGAUCUAUGGCAGCAGAUCUCAGAGUAGGGGUUAACUUUAUGAGUAGGCUGGAUGGGGAGGGGCACAAUGGAGUCUUCUGGUAUGCUGGAAAUGCUUUGUAGUAUGGGUAUUCCAUGGGUGUAUAAAUGUGUAAAAAUUCACUGAGAUGGAUGCUUAAGAUUUGUCCACUUGACUGUAUGUAUGACAUAAUACUACUUCAAUUAACAAAAUAAAGAGAGAGAAAGAUUUGUUUGAUAAAAUAUGUCUUAGAGGAUAAGCAAAUCCUCUACAGGAAAGCUGGGAUCCAGAAUACUGAACAAUUAACAAGAAUAUUCUGAAUCGAUCAUAUUCAUCUAUGAAACUGGGAAAAUCAAAAGAUGGCAAAAAGAGGAAGCCGUGGGGCAGAUACGCCCAAGGCAGUCCCAAUUUGAAGAAUUUAGAGCAGUGAUGUGCUGGAGAAAGCUCCCACCAACUUGUAAGCGCUGUCCCGCAGUCAGUGACAUUUCAACUCUAUAUUCAGUGACAUCACCUUGGUUGCUUGAAGUUGACUGUGGUGGGAAUGGUUUCACCACAAUGGAGGGCCAAGACUACAGAUCAGAGCUCUUAUUUUUUCCUCAAGCUGGUUGCUAAACAGCUGGUUAUUAGAUUGGAUUUAAGGGUAAUCCGCAUGAGUUGGUGUACUGGACCCAGGGUUCUAGGACCAGCUAUCUGAGACCAUCAGGUUUGAAUGAGAUUUCCCCCACGCUCAGCUCCAGCGAGGGGUGGGAGCAAGGUUCCUGAGUGGCUUAAACGUAUCAGCAAACCGCCUGGUGCUUCUAGGAGAGAAAAUGUCCUUCUUCUGAGGAAACUACUGGAAUAGGCUUUCACUUCAUGGAAAGGAGGAGGUAGCCUCGGAUGUCCCUUUUGGAUCCUCAGAGAAACCUGCCUGAAAAUGGAGCUAACCUAGAGAGAACAGAGCCAAGGACUGGAGAGAGGAAAGUGAGCCCUGGUCACUCCUCUUGGCUCUGAAUCAAGCCUUAUCUAACGCCGCAAGUCUUCCUGGACUUUUAAGUUAUAUGCACGAACAUGCUGAGUCUUGUUUUCUGUAAAUGUCUACAUACAGCACACUGACUGAUACACUGCUUCAUCUUCUGUACCAAGUCAAACACAUUUCCCCAACUUGAAGUACCCACAGAGUGCUCCUAGCACACGGCUGCCUCGUCGUUGGGUUACUAGGGUAGGAGGAGGGACUGGAUCGGGGACUAGGGAGGUCUCUCAGGGCUCUGACGAGAGACAGAAACUAUGCAGAGUGGGUUGGAGCCUGAGGAACCAUUUGAAUGCAUUGCUUCUUGACUCCUGGUGAAGCCGUCUGUCCCCAAGACCAGGCUGUGAGGAAGGAUUCUCAAGGAGGAAUGGCGUCCAAUCGAGAGGCUGCUAAAAGGACUGAAACCUGCCCUUCUCAGAUACUUCUGCCUUUUCCCUCAUAUUAUCCAGUGAUUCCUUUAAAUAAAGGAACUUGUUAUCCUAUUAGUCCAUUUUAGGUGAUGUAUUAUAGCACCUAGCACAGACAGCAUCUGGCAUUCACUGGGAGCUCAAUAAAGGGUGAUUUUGUGUUAUUCUGUUAGUGUUAAAUUUAUUCUGCUUAACUUAAAAUAGCUUACUAAUUAUAUUUCCAAGCCUUUAUAUUGUAUUUUCUUUGUAUAUGUUUUAGAUAUUUAAAUUACUUAGAUCGAUUCUAUUUUUAAAUUCUUAAUUUAGAAUCCUUAUUUUUUUUCUGCUUUUAUCUCCCCAAACCCCCCCUGUACACAGUUGUAUAUCUUAGUUGCACGUCCUUCUAGUUGUGGGAUGUGGGACGCCGCCUCAACGUGGCCUGACAAGCAGUGCCAUGUCCGCGCCCAGGAUCCGAACCCUGGGCCGCCACAGCGGAGCGCAUGAAUUUAACCACUGGGCCACGGAGCCGGCCCCUAGAAUUCUUGUUUUUAAACUCUCUUAUUUUCCUUAAUCUUUCUUCAGUGACUUUUGCUUAUUAAAAAUAACAUUUACUCAUUGUAGUAAAUGUAGAUAAACAAAGGUUUGAAAAUUAAAACCACUCAUAAACAC
ensembl:lncRNA